AGCUCCAAUAGCGUAUAUUAAAGUUGCUGCAGUUAAAAAGCUCGUAAUUAAAUUUGUGGCGCGGUCGUCCGGCGGGGCUUCCGGUUUCAUAGUAUCCCGGGGCCGUUUGUCUAAAUUCUUGGCCGCCCCAUUCUUCGGUUGCGUGUCGCUGGCAUUAGGUUGUCGGCUUCUUCGCGCCGAUCGUUUACUGUGAAAAAAUUAGAGUGUUCAAAGCAGGCUUAGGCCGUUGGAUACAUUAGCAUGGAAUAAUGAGAUAGGGCCACGGCGGUCUAUUUUGUUGGUUUGCACGUUGUGGUAAUGAUUAACAGGAACGGUUGGGGGUAUUCGUAUUCAAUUGUCAGAGGUGAAAUUCUUGGAUUUAUGGAAGACGAACUACUGCGAAAGCAUUUACCAAGGAUGU
rnacentral:rRNA from 1 species